ensembl:lncRNA
ACCACCUUCACUCGCAUUCACACACCUACGAGCAGGUGCAGAGUCACCUGGUGACCAGGAAGUAGAAUGUAGCACAAAAAGGUCCUGAAAGGACCACCUCUAAACGAGGACACACAACUCCUCAGAGAUUAGAUGUUUCCUCCUCUGACCGUCAUCACGUCAAUGUCUUUUUACUAUUGUGUUGUUUGAAUAAUGAGUGUCUUCACCGGCUUGAUGUCACCUAAUGAAAACAUGUACAUAUAUAUAUAUAUAUAUAUUAUACACACACAAUCCAGAACGGAAGGUUGUUCUCUUCACUGUAUCACGUCUGGGUGAUGGUGUCCAUACUCCUGUCAGUGAACAAUGGUCCCGAGACUUCACAGGAGGGACAGAGGAGCAACUUAAAUGUUGGCGACGUUCAUGUAGAUGUAAAAUUAAUAAUCGCAGCAGCAAAAGUUAUUGCACGUGAUUUCAGAGCGAGUGCGAUAAGUCAUUUUAUCGCAUGUUGGGACAGACUACUUGAAUCUCUUUAAAACUUCAAACUACGUUGCUGUAAAUCCUAAAUGUCCACAGUGUGGGACUAAUGAAGGGUUAUAUCUUAUCUCUGGGACAAAGUGUCCUUCCUUAGCUUUAUUAAUUGUAUUUCCACAAACUAACGCUGGAUGUUAGAGCAACAAAGAUGGAGCCCAACACAGCAAAUCACACCGGAUACAAGAACACAGAAACCCUGAAACCUUCAGACUGCGUUAUUGUCCAAUCAGCAGCAUCACAGAUGUGUCAGUCAGGAACGUCUUCAGGCCUUUGGCUUCUUUACCUCAACCCACAACCAUAGUGAUGUGUCACUGCAUAUAUAUAUAUAUAUGUGUGUAUAUGUAUAUAUGUAUGUAUGUACAGUGUAUAACACAAACGGCACAUUUGUCCCCAACCUCAUCAUCGCUUGUUUCUUCCUCUGGUGGGCGGAGUCCUAACGAGCCAAUCAGGAGGCGGCGGAGGGGAGCGCUUAACGAGGGCGCCAUGGUGAACACACAUAUCCACGGCGGGUUUGUUAGAGAGACGCACUGCAGCGUUUGGUAAAUGGAGCUCGACUGGUGCAGCGUGGGGGUGGGUGUGGGUGUGUGUGUGUGUGUGUGUGUGUGUGUGCGUGUGUGUGUGUGCGCGUGUGCGCGUGCGUGCGUGCGUGAGACGUGGCCCCAGGUCUCCAAUUACAGACCAAAUUUGUCAUCUGGAACAGAGACCAAAACACCUGCUCACAACAUCUGCUGAGGUGCCUGCAGGAAGCUUGUGUGUGUGUGUGUGUGUGUGUGUGUGUGCGUGUUUGUAUGUGUCUUUUUUACAAAAUCUUUUUUUUUAUUUAAGCGCCGCUGCAUUAUUUAAUAUCGUCAAACCUGAUAUCAACAUUUCAUUUUUAAAUAUCACUGCCGUCCCCUUAUUUUUACCAUCACUGUUUGCUCAAAGCGAAACCUUUAUUCUUAUUUUCAGUGUCUUUGGCUGAGUGCAAAAGGAGCAGGAAGAGCAACCAAACGGCUUCAUUUUAAACAUGAUUUGCUCAAAGCAGCAGCACAGCGCUAACUCUUGUUAAUUUGAGCCCCAGCUACAACUCUGAGUGCCAUAAAUCACAUUUACAUAAUAGCAAUUUGCAGAAGCAAAUAUGUUCAGCGGGAAACAUAAUGGCACCUAAAUGAAUCCCAGCAUAACGAGCUGCUGUUAAUUAACACAUCUUCAAAGCGUUCAUUACCAACACAACGUGGUCAUGAUUGGUCAACACUGGUGACCCGUGAAACACAAUCUUUAACCCCAAAUAAUGACAAUAGCCCAACACAGUAACGAUGUGACAGUCAGGAAGGUCUUCAGGCCUAAUAACAUAAUCUCGCUUUAGAUGAAGAAAUUAGUCGAGUUUCUAUAAAACAGUUGAUUCUCCACAGUGAGAAAAUCCACCACAAAACAAACCCUUCCUACAAGUAUUUAAUGACCACAACCAGCAUUAAUACAUUAUAGAUGGAUGGAUGGCUUGGUAGAUGGAUGAAAGGAUGAAUAGAUGAAUCAAUAUAUGGUUGGAUAAAUGGAUAGCUGGAUGGAUGUAGAAUGAUGGAUGGAUGGACUGAUCAAUGGAUCGAUGUAGGAUUGAUAGAUGGAUGGUAAAUAAAUAGAUGGAUGGAUGGAUGUAGAAUCAUGGAUGGAUGGAUUGGUAGAUGGAUGGGUAAAUAAAUAGAUGGAUGGAUGGAUAAUGAUGGAUGGAUGGAUUGGUAGAUGGAUGGGUAAAUAAAUAGAUGGAUGGAUGUAGAAUGGUGGAUGGAUGGAUUGGUAGAUGGAUGGGUAAAUAAAUAGAUGAAUAGAUGGAUGGAUGGAUGUAGAAUCAUGGAUGGAUGGGUUGGUAGAUGGAUGGGUAAAUAAAUAGAUGGAUGGAUAGAUGGAUGGAAGGAUGGAUAGAUGAAUCAAUAUGGUUGGAUGAAUGGAUAGCUGGAUGGAUGUAGAAUGAUGGAUGGAUGGAUGGAUGGAUUGGUAGAUGGAUGGGUAAAUAAAUAGAUGGAUGGAUGUAGAAUGAUGGAUGGAUGGGUUGGUAGAUGGAUGGGUAAAUAAAUAGAUGGAUGGAUGGAUGCAGAAUGAUGGAUGGAUGGAUUGGUAGAUGGAUGGGUAAAUAAAUAGAUGGAUGGCAAUGUAAAUAAGUGAACUAAAAAAAAAGAAAAACAAAUGGAAGAAAAAAAAGGAAGAAUCUAACAAAUCCACUAGUUAGCAUUAGUAUUUUUUCUAAUUUAUUGAACCUUUAAUGGAGACCAGAACAGAUGCUACACCCCUAAUGAACUAAACAGCAGCUGGAACACACAUCUCUGGCUGCUUAGAAUAAAUAAAGGGGAAUAAAAAUGGCUCCUGGAACUCUACUCUGCCCGGCGGCCUCCGCGAUGACCCAACCACAUUUGUCGGUCUUAUCCCCGUUUCCAGGCCAACGCCACGGGAGCCAUCCGGCGCCACAGGCCGUGGUGUUUGAAAUUGAUGAACUAAUUUACAUUCAUGCAGGCUACUUAUUUGAAAGGUGGUAUUGUGAAGAAGUCCCUCCAGCAGAAGGAAUAAAUCACAGCACCAUUUCUCUUCAUAAGCAGCGCAUUGGGUCAGGGUGGAGAUAGUGGAUCUCAGGAGGGAGGGAUUGGAGCCAGUUUUGGUCGUCCUUUGGAUGAUUAAAGCUCCGGCAGAUCUGAAGUGUGGACAGUCGAAGUCCCGCCCCCUUCUGGUCGACAACCUUUUUUCAGAUCAAUGAUGUACAACAGAAGGCAAAUAAUAUUUUGAUAACCCUUUUUUUGUUCAUUUAAAAGAUAAUUGUGCACGUGAAGAAAGUUGGCCUACAGUAUAAGACUGAAAUUAGAAAAACUUCCCAACCCAACGUGUCUUUGUGUGCUCCAUGGCUACACUUCCUGUACACUUGUGUAAAAACCCAACAUGCUGACGUCCAUGAUGCAAGAUGGCUCCAGGCUUCUAAUCUCUAUCCUCAGCCUCUAACAUCACCCGGAAAACAAGAUGACUACUUUUUGAGCGACUAGCGUGUUAAUUGAUGAUGUCACUCGCAUUAACGUACCUGACGGAUGAUGCCAAUUUCUUCCAAGAAAAAUAUGAAAAAUUAAAACUAAAAAGCUAGACAGCUAAAACAGUAGAGCAGAGGUAAACAUAAACGAGGGGAAUUAUCUCAUAAGGAUUGGUGCUGUGAGGUGCCCUCUACAUCUUCUGUUCCAAGACUUUAGAAACCUUUUGUCACACCUGUAUGUCAAGUUGCGUUUUUGUCCUGUCUCCAGUUGUUUUUUGACUUCCUGUUUUAUUUUGGAAACUAACUCCCUCUCGUUUCAGGUCCCUUGCCCUUCCUCAUGUGUCACCAGUCUGAUUGUCUCCCCUGAUUCCUGAUUGUGUCCACCUGUUCCCACAACUCCCUCAUGGGUACUU